UACGUAGGGACCGAGCGUUGUCCGGAAUCAUUGGGCGUAAAGCGCGUGUAGGCGGUUCAGUAAGUCUGCUGUGAAAGUCCAGGGCUCAACCCUGGGAUGCCGGUGGAUACUGCUGGACUAGAGUGCGGAAGAGGCGAGUGGAAUUCCCGGUGUAGCGGUGAAAUGCGCAGAUAUCGGGAGGAACACCAAUUGCGAAGGCAGCUCGCUGGGACGUUACUGACGCUGAGACGCGAAAGCGUGGGGAGCAAACAGG
rnacentral:rRNA from 1 species